GGGUUGUGAGGUUAAGCGACUAAGCGUACACGGUGGAUGCCCUGGCAGUCAGAGGCGAUGAAGGACGUGCUAAUCUGCGAUAAGCGUCGGUGAGGUGAUAUGAACCGUUAUAACCGGCGAUUUCCGAAUGGGGAAACCCAGUGUGUUUCGACACACUAUCAUUAACUGAAUCCAUAGGUUAAUGAGGCGAACCGGGGGAACUGAAACAUCUAAGUACCCCGAGGAAAAGAAAUCAACCGAGAUUCCCCCAGUAGCGGCGAGCGAACGGGGAGGAGCCCAGAGCCUGAAUCAGUGUGUGUGUUAGUGGAAGCGUCUGGAAAGGCGCGCGAUACAGGGUGACAGCCCCGUACACAAAAAUGCACAUAUUGUGAGCUCGAUGAGUAGGGCGGGACACGUGGUAUCCUGUCUGAAUAUGGGGGGACCAUCCUCCAAGGCUAAAUACUCCUGACUGACCGAUAGUGAACCAGUACCGUGAGGGAAAGGCGAAAAGAACCCCGGCGAGGGGAGUGAAAAAGAACCUGAAACCGUGUACGUACAAGCAGUGGGAGCCUCUUAAUGGGGUGACUGCGUACCUUUUGUAUAAUGGGUCAGCGACUUAUAUUCUGUAGCAAGGUUAACCGAAUAGGGGAGCCGAAGGGAAACCGAGUCUUAACUGGGCGUUAAGUUGCAGGGUAUAGACCCGAAACCCGGUGAUCUAGCCAUGGGCAGGUUGAAGGUUGGGUAACACUAACUGGAGGACCGAACCGACUAAUGUUGAAAAAUUAGCGGAUGACUUGUGGCUGGGGGUGAAAGGCCAAUCAAACCGGGAGAUAGCUGGUUCUCCCCGAAAGCUAUUUAGGUAGCGCCUCGUGAAUUCAUCUCCGGGGGUAGAGCACUGUUUCGGCAAGGGGGUCAUCCCGACUUACCAACCCGAUGCAAACUGCGAAUACCGGAGAAUGUUAUCACGGGAGACACACGGCGGGUGCUAACGUCCGUCGUGAAGAGGGAAACAACCCAGACCGCCAGCUAAGGUCCCAAAGUCAUGGUUAAGUGGGAAACGAUGUGGGAAGGCCCAGACAGCCAGGAUGUUGGCUUAGAAGCAGCCAUCAUUUAAAGAAAGCGUAAUAGCUCACUGGUCGAGUCGGCCUGCGCGGAAGAUGUAACGGGGCUAAACCAUGCACCGAAGCUGCGGCAGCGACGCUUAUGCGUUGUUGGGUAGGGGAGCGUUCUGUAAGCCUGUGAAGGUGUGCUGUGAGGCAUGCUGGAGGUAUCAGAAGUGCGAAUGCUGACAUAAGUAACGAUAAAGCGGGUGAAAAGCCCGCUCGCCGGAAGACCAAGGGUUCCUGUCCAACGUUAAUCGGGGCAGGGUGAGUCGACCCCUAAGGCGAGGCCGAAAGGCGUAGUCGAUGGGAAACAGGUUAAUAUUCCUGUACUUGGUGUUACUGCGAAGGGGGGACGGAGAAGGCUAUGUUGGCCGGGCGACGGUUGUCCCGGUUUAAGCGUGUAGGCUGGUUUUCCAGGCAAAUCCGGAAAACCAAGGCUGAGGCGUGAUGACGAGGCACUACGGUGCUGAAGC
rnacentral:rRNA from 1 species